rnacentral:rRNA from 1 species
AGUGAACGCUGGCGGUAGGCCUAACACAUGCAAGUCGAACGGCAGCACAGUAAGAGCUUGCUCUUACGGGUGGCGAGUGGCGGACGGGUGAGGAAUACAUCGGAAUCUACUUUUUCGUGGGGGAUAACGUAGGGAAACUUACGCUAAUACCGCAUACGACCUACGGGUGAAAGCAGGGGAUCUUCGGACCUUGCGCGAUUGAAUGAGCCGAUGUCGGAUUAGCUAGUUGGCGGGGUAAAGGCCCACCAAGGCGACGAUCCGUAGCUGGUCUGAGAGGAUGAUCAGCCAAACGGGACCUGGGACAGGUCCCGGACUCCAACGGGGGGCAGAAGUGGGAAAUAUGGACAAAUGGGCGAAACCCUGUUCCAGCCAUACCGCGUGGGUGAAAAGGGCCUUCGGGUUGUAAAGCCUUUUUGUGGGGAAAAAAAGGCAGCAGGUUAAUACCCCGCUGUUCUGACUGUACCAAAGAAUAAGCACCGGCUAACUUCGUG